UUAAUUUAUAAGGGGUGGAAGGUUUAUUGUCAUUUAGAGUCCAAAGCCUGGCAGCGAUGGAGCGUUUGGCGGCAGCUGUGCACAGCUGCUCUUGCUUUAUGCCUUUUACAUGUUUUUAAAUUGCCCUGUUUGAAUCUGCAGCCGCCGAAGCAUCCCGGUUUGCAGAAGGGUGGUUCCUCCUGCCCUCUGACACUGGCAGGAGACUGCCCUACUCCCCAAACGACCCGACUCACCUUCCAGAAGUGUUCCUGGCUGAUCCAGUCUCACGCUGACUACUCCAUGCCUUCCGGUCACUGUCCAGCCCCUGUGAAACACCAGCAAGCACUCACGUGUGCAAAGCUUUUAAGUUUAUAGGCGGGUUUCGCAUGCCGUGUCUUAAUACUUGUCUCCCUGGAUUAAAUGAUUAAACAAGAUCAAACACUCGGGGCUCUAAACGCCUGGUGUUACCUCUUGAGCUGAUAAAUAGAAUUAGGGCUCCCAUUUAUUGACCACAUGUGAGAUGCCAGGCCUCUCUGCUCCACGCUCCUAGCACAUUAAUUCACAGAAUCUUGGCUGCCACUGUGGGAGAUAGCUGUCAGUUGUACCUGGGCUUUGGGAAGUGUGAAGAACUUAAGGCCAAGGUCAUGCAGUCAACACUCGUGCACAUUAGCUAACAGUUAGUAAUGUCAUUAGGGCAAGCGUCUCACUUGUCUGUCUGGAGGGCUGGCACAGAGCAGGCCAUGGAUGGAUCCUGUUGAGGAUGAGCCUGCAUGCCUGCAUGACCUGAGCUGUCCCAGUUGCUGUUUCUCAUCCCCGCCCUCUUCUCUUUCUCCUUACAGGCAUCAGACCCUGGAUCAUCCGAAGUCUAACUUAGCGCUCAGGCUGGUGUCUGACAUAUUCUUGAUUCACUGGAACGAGGACUGAAUACUGUCAGUCCCAGCAGUCCUCUGAGGAUGGUUUUAGGAACUCCAUCCUGCAGGAGGGAGGGGCCUGAGAGUGUGUGACACCUGCUCAAAUAACAGUGUCAGAGCCAGGAUUUUGGAUUCUGAGGCCCGAGUUUUUGUUUCGUUGUUUUGUUUUCUCACCAGCGGCCGCCCACCUAGCCACCUGGCAGGCAUUUGGGGGAGAUUCGGAAAUGUUUCCUCUUUGCUGCCAUCCUGUCUAGUAUCUGUGAAACACCCAUCACUCACCAGCUGCAGACAUUCUCCAGAAAGCUUCAGAACACCCUCGCAAAGGUGUCUGCUAUUGCCCCCAUUUUACAGAUGUGGAAGCAGGUUGAAGGAGGCUUCCUAGUAACUGACUGAGCUGCUUCCCGAGGUAAGGGUCAGAGUGACUGGGAUACAGGCUGGAGAGGGAUGACCUGCAAACCCAGCUUGGCAAGGGUUGGCAGGAGCAGAGGAGGGUCAGGAGAAGCUCCUAGAAGUCUCUUUCCCCUACUGGCCUUUGAGGGCAGAGGUGAGAUUUGGUAGACUCUUGAUAGGAAUUGUUCUGUGUGCAAGCAAGAACCGAGUUAGGUGGAGUGUAAGCAUUCUAGCCUGGCCUGGGUUGUCCCGAGUCCCUUCUGGUUUCAGUCUUGAACUUGUCCUUCCCUGCAAUGCAGAGAUGCGCAGGUGGGAGGGGAGGAUCUAUAGGCUGCUGUGUACAACUGGUCCUUAAGGUUUCUAUCAACCCCAUCCACAAUUUUUCCCACCAGCCUCCUGCCAGCACCAUGGAGUGAAGAGCAGUCUGGCCCAGGAUGCUGAGUUGGAUCCACUUAGACAUUCUCCAGCCCCCCCCCCCCCCAGUGCAUCCCUGUCCCUCCAUCCUUGCUGUACAGUGGUCUGCCUUCCUGCUCACAACCAGGCUCGGCAGGAAAAGCAGCCUACUCCUCCAGUUUCCCUGCUUCCUAAACAUUGCUGAUGCCCGAAGGCUGCUCUCAGCUCUUCUCCUGGAGGUUACCACACUGAAUGGAUAGACGUGCCGGCUUUUAGUGAGCAACACAGGCCUUGAUGCCAGUAAAACACGAGGCAUGAUGGAAAGGGACUGGCCAUUGCUUUGGUUUGCAGACAGAGAUCCCAUCAUCUGCAGGAGGAUUUGAGUGUGAUGAAGCCAUUCAUAGGAAGAUCUAGAUGAAGAACAUCCCAUGCUCAGUGAGCAGGAAGUACAAAGGCCCUGGGGUUAGAGAGAACUUUUCCGACUCCAGGAACCAGAGGAGGCUGGCCUUAGCGGUGACAACAGGCAGGAUCUUGGUGACACUUUCUAUUUCCCCGUCAGGAGUCCUUCCAACAUGAAGAUCUAACUCUGAUGGUCUUGGAGACCACAGACCUUCCCUAGCCUGGUCUGGGAGGGAUGCCUGGCAAAUGCUUUCUGGGCUAACGUGAGUUAUUUGAGCACUCGAGUCGCUAGCAGAAGCACUGCGUUAGCGAGUCCCCUUUGUUUGAACAAACAAGAUUAGAAGCAUUGCACUGUUUGUUCUUCCUGGUGAGGCUCUAGCAAAUCCACACUUUGUGGGACUUCUGGCCUCUGGAGGGCCCCUCAGUGUUUUCUAAAAGCAUAGCCCGUGAGAGUUAAAAUUUGAAUAGAUAUCUCUCAAGAGCUGGUCCUGUAUUCCUGUAUUACCUUGAGACAAAUGUUUGUUAAUAUAUAUAUAUAUAUAUAUAUGUAUUCUAGUUGCUAGAAUACAUGUUGUAAAUACUUGCGUUUGAAAAUGUACACUUCCGGGAUGCUUUGUGGGUUCCUGUGCAUGUUCACGUACGACUAGAAAUCUGUUUGUCACAGAUGCUUCCCAGGUCUGGUGGUUGUUUUCUCUAUCCUAAUUAAUCUAUUGAUGUAGAAUUAUGCAUCUUUCCCCAUAAGCCGGGAGUGUAUUUAAAAGCUCAUUUCCUUGCCUGAGAUACAUGCAAAUAAAAGUUAAAGACAAUUGAAACGAUGUCCUGUCUCUUUAUCCCACCUAAGGACCAAA
rnacentral:lncRNA from 1 species